ACUCUCGACAAUAGAUAUCUCAACUCUCGCAUUAAUGAAGGACAUAGCAAAAUGUGAUACUUGGUGUGAAUUGCAGAAUCUUGUGAAUCAUCGAUUUUUUGAAAGUAAGUUGCACCCUAAGCCAUAAGGCUGAUGACACACUUGCCUGGGUGUCAUGCACUGUCGCCCCUUCAAUCCCUAUCCAUCAAGCUUCAAAUGAGGGGGGAAGAUGGCCCCGUGAUCUCGUCGAUUAUGGUUGGCAUAAAACCAUGUCCCUGGCAACAAUAGUGUUGUGAUCGUCAGUGGUAAAGCUCCAAGUAUGCCUCAUCUCCAAUUAUGCAUGUUCAUUUCCAUCUGAAACCCAUCAAACCCCCUAUAUCACUCGAUCGAUGCUUGUGUUAUGACCCUAGCUCAAGUGGGAUUACCCACUGAGUUUGAGCAUAUCAAUAAGCAGAGGAAAAUAAACAUACAGGAUUCCCCUAGUAAACGCAAGCAAACUGAGAAUAGCUUAGCUUGAGAAUCAGGCUCCUAUAACAUCCAAAUUGUAAUAUGGAGAAAUGUCCAUUGUGGUGGAUUGGGCCUAUGUCCCCUAGAAAUGGGGCAUCAAAAAGGGUGAGAGCCUUGUUGUGCCUAGACCCUAUAACACCACAAGGCACUAUCUGUGACUCGGGUUGUUUGGGAAUACAGCCCUAAUUGGAUAAUAAAUUCCAUCCAAGGCUAAAUAUGGGUGAGAGAUAAAUAGCAAACAAGUACCAUGAGGGAAAGGUGAAAAAGUCUUUGAAAAGAUAGUUAAAAGUGCUCAAAAUUGUUGGAAGGGAAACAAAUAGGGGCUAGUGAUGCACCAAAGUUGGAUAUAGAAUGGCUAGAACCAAUUUGCUAAUUGACUUGGGGCAUGGAUCAAUGUGGGUUGCAAUGGUGGCCAAAGCCCAACCUUUUGAUAUGCCUACAAAGACAUCAUCACCGUGAUCAUGGAAUGCAACAUGCAUUGUCUUGGCAUCCCUCAACAUCAGCUUGCUCUCAACAUUAGCCUACGAGCUCACCAUCCGACUAGUCUUGAAACACAGACCAAGAAGUCUGACAUGUGUGUGAGACAAUAGGCUAGAAAACCCAUAAGGUGCAAGGAUGUUGAUUGCCAGGAUUCCUCGUGGGUGCAUCGCUGACUGACCUUGAUCUUCUGAUAAGGGUAUAAGUGUAAGCAUGCCUACUGAGACUAGAAAGAUGGUGAAGUAGGCUUGAGCAAGACAAAGCCAGAGAAAACUCCAAUGGAGGCCUAUAGUGAUACUAAUGUGCAAAUCAUUCAUUUGAAUUGGGUAUAGGGGUGAAAGACUAAUCAAACUAUCUACUAGAUGGUUCCCUUCGAAGCUUUUUGCAACAUAGCUAGAGCUCAUAGCGAUUUCUAUUGGGUAAAGCCAAUGAUUAGAGUUAUCAGAGGCAUAACACCUUUGACCUAUUCUCAAACUUUAAAUAGGUAGGACAACAUGGCUACUUCAUUGAGCCGUGCCAUAGAAUCGAGAGCUCCCAAUGAGCCAUUUUUGGUAAGCAAAAUUGGUGAUGUGGGAUGAACUAAAAGUCAGGUUAUAGUGCCCAACAUAAAGGGUGUUGGUUGAUAAAGAUGGUAGGAUAGUGGUCAUGGAAGUCAAAAUCUACUAAGGAGUAUGUAACAACUCACUUGCUAAAUCAACUGGCCUAGAAAAUGGAUCUCACUUAAGUGCAUGACCUAUACUUGGUCAUCGGGGCAAGGGCCAAGCCCAAUAAGUAGAAGGGCAUGGUAGUCACUGUAAAACCAAGGGUGAGCCUAGGUAAAGUGACCAUCAGUACUGAUCUUUGUGGUAGUAGCCAAUAUCAAAUGAGAACUUUGAAGGCCAAAAAAGGGAAAUGUUGCAUGUGAAUGACACUUGCACAUGGGUUAGUCUAUCCUAAGAUAUAAAGGAAGCCCAUCUGAUAGUUUGUCUAAUGCAAGUUUCAAAAAAGAUUCGGGUUAAAAUGCCUAAACCAAGAUGUAAUAACGAGGACGAUAAAAAGUUCAUAGAUGUUGGUGAAGGCCUCAAGAAGAGGUAUCUUUUUUGUUUAAUGACCUGUCCACAUUGGAAAUGGCUCAACCAAAGGUAGGGUCCAAUGGUCAGAUGAACACUGCAUGUCACAUAGUGAUCAAUGUGCCCCUGAUAGCAACUGAAAAUCUGGAGGAUCAAGUGCCAUCCAUGCUCGGUCAUACUAUAACUGCAUUAGGUCUUUAAGGUGAAUAACCUUUGGUUGAUAAAACAAUGUAGGCAAAUGAAGUUGGCAAAAUGGACCUGUAAACUUGGGAAAAGUAUUAGAUUUGAAGGCUAAAGACAAGGGUCCUAGCCCUAAACCUAUCAGUUGUCGGUGCACCAUUCGAGCUAUUCUCGCAGCAAAAGUGGGUCAUCGCAUGCUAACUAAAGGUCAUACUAGGAACAGCUCCCUCUUAGGCCUUCUCGAAGUGAUGAAUAGUCAACUUAGAACUGGUAUGGAUAAGGGGAAUCCAAUUGUUUAAUUAAAACAAAGCAUUGUGAUGGUCCUCAUAGAUGCUCACACAAUGUGAUUUUUGCCAAGUGCUCUAAAUGUCAAAGUGAAGAAAUUCAACCAAGCAUUGGUAAAUGACAGGAGUAACAAUGACUCCCUUAAGUUAGCCAAAUGCCUCAUCAUCUAAUUAGUGACAUGCAUGAAUGGGUUAACAAGAUUCCCACUGUCAUUGUCUACUAUCCAGUGAAGCCCUAGCCUAUAGAAUGGGCUUGGUAAAAUCAGAAUGAAAAGAAGACCUUGUCGACCUUGACUCUAGUUUGACUUUGUGAAAUAACUUGAGAGGUGUA
rnacentral:rRNA from 1 species